AAUGUCUCCCAUCAUGUGCUCUGUCUCACAGGAUAUCCUGCUGGGGCUAAGUCUCUGAAAUACGGUCCAGGAGGAGGUGGAGGAGCUCCGGGUGGAGGCCUUGGUGGGCGAUUCGGUGCCCCGGGAGGAGGUCUGCCAGGAGGAGGCUACGGACCAGGGGCAGGAGGCGCCUUAGGAGCAGGAGAAGCAGGAGCAGGAGGAAGAGUGCCUGGGGGUGGAUACGGGACUGGAGCUGGGCCUGGUGCAGGAACAGGGCCUGGAGCUGGGUACGGUCAGGGAGCAGGAGGAGUCCCUGGAGGAGGCUAUGAAGCUAGGGUGAGAGCAGGAGGACUACCUGGGGCCGGAUAUGGACCUGGAAGAGGAUAUGGAGCCGGAUCAAAAGCUGCUAAAUAUGGACAAGUUGCUGGUGGGGCCGGUGGAGCCCUUGGAGGAGGAGCUGGACAAGGAUUCGGAGGGGUACCAGGUGGCUAUGGACCAGGUGGCUUCGGAGCCGGACCAGGUGGCUUCGGAGCCGGACCAGGUGGCUUUGGAGCCGGACCAGGUGGCUAUGGACCCGGGGGCGGAGCAGGAUCAGGAGGGGUGCCAGGUGGGCUUCCAGGAGGGUACAGCGGUUCUCCCUGGGGGAAAAGGGGUGAGUGUGAGGAGAGCUGA
rnacentral:lncRNA from 13 species